rnacentral:rRNA from 1 species
CCCUUAGAUGUCCGGGGCCGCACGCGCGCUACACUGAAGGAAUCAGCGUGGCUUUCUCCCUGACCCGAAAGGGUUGGGAAACCCGUUGAAUCUCCUUCGUGAUAGGGAUUGGGGCUUGAAAUUGUUCCCCAUGAACGAGGAAUUCCCAGUAAGCGCGAGUCAUAAGCUCGCGUUGAUUACGUCCCUGCCCUUUGUACACACCGCCCGUCGCUACUACCGAUUGAACGGUUUAGUGAGGGCCUCGGAUUGGUCUCGGCCCGCUCUUUACCGGGCGGCGCCGUUGGUCGAGAAGACGCUCGAACUUGUUCGUUUAGAGGAAGUAAAAGUCGUAACA